rnacentral:rRNA from 1 species
CAGAAGAAGCACCGGCUAACUCCGUGCCAGCAGCCGCGGUAAUACGGAGGGUGCGAGCGUUAAUCGGAAUUACUGGGCGUAAAGCGCAUGCAGGUGGUUGUUAAGUCAGAUGUGAAAGCCCGGGGCUCAACCUCGGAAUUGCAUUUGAAACUGGCAAACUAGAGUACUGUAGAGGGGGUAGAAGUUUCAGGUGUAGCGGUGAAAUGCGUAGAGAUCUGAAGGAAUACCGGUGGCGAAGGCGGCCCCCUGGACAGAUACUGACACUCAGAUGCGAAAGCGUGGGGAGCAAACAGGAUUAGAUACCCUGGCAG